GGUCUCCUCCAACUCUCCCUAAGUUUUGGAUUUAGCCCGCUGCCGCAAGGCUGGCGGGCUUUUUUUA
rfam:Collimonas fungivorans Ter331, complete genome.